GACGUAGGGCGCGAGCGUUGUCCGGAUUUAUUGGGCGUAAAGAGCUCGUAGGCGGCUUGUCGCGUCGGCUGUGAAAACCCGCGGCUCAACUGUGGGCGGGCAGCUGAUACGGGCAGGCUGGAGUUCGGUAGGGGAGACUGGAAUUCCUGGUGUAGCGGUGGAAUGCGCAGAUAUCAGGAGGAACACCUAUAGCGAAGGCAGCUCGCUGGGACGACACUGACGCUGAGACGCGAAAGCGUGGGGAGCGAACAGG
rnacentral:rRNA from 1 species